AAUCGUCGCUCUCUUUCGCCUGCCCGUAGUAGCAGAGCGAAAAUGGCGUAGCACGGAGGGUGUGCGGAGUAGGGGACGAGGGGACCUUCUCCUCUCCGGGGUGGAGGAGAGGGGGCCCCGGAGGUUGUCGUCCAUUUCCCCCUCGACAUGUCCCCUCACCCGGCGCGGACACUCUCCCCAGACUAACUGCGGCUAACGUCCAGUUUGUGAGACGUGAAUGUGCCGCCGUAGAAGAAGAAAACCGCCCUGGCUUUUGUUUACCAUUAUGAGCAGCUGCAGCGCGAAGAAGCACAGUGGAAAUACCUCUGCAUCAUCUCGGACCGACGCUCACACCAAGGAUGGGUUUCCCUGGAAAUUCAAUUGUGAAAGCAGCUGAAGCCCAGACUGCAGGAACAUCUUCCUUCCAACCAGCCUCAGCACCGACAACAGAUCACUUCCCUCCAGACUGGUGGACUUUAAGAGCGAAGACUCACCGUUGAAGAUGACCUCUUUUGGGCAUCAGGGACGUUGGUGCCCUCUUUCCUGCUGUAGCUGGGACACGGGCCCUCUUUCCUCCACAGCAUCCCCCACUGUCCUGGCCUGUUUCUGCAGCAUUCUCAACCGCCAGGAUAUCUGCCAAGAUUGUGGGUUCGUGUGAAGCCCAUCAUGCACACUCUGACUACGUUUACAUGUAGCUAAACGCUGGCUCUGCAGUCACUAAGCUGACUGAAAAGCCAGAGAAGGUGUCUGGUCUCUUUGUAAAUGCCUGAAAAUCCCCAUCAUUUGAGUAUUUUCAGUCAGAUUUGCUUUCGAUUCUUAUCUGGCUGCAUGUAAACGUUGUCAUUCUUGCGCAAAAAAAAAGUCCCCACUCGCUCUGUAAUUACAUCAAAGCAGUUUGAUAAUGAACAAACUGUUCUUGUUUCCUGGGAAGAGAGUAAAGACACAAGAUACUGUAGCAAAAGAUCAAGGCCUGUGAUUAAAUUGGACUAAUUUAGGGUGAAAUCUUUUGGUUUUUUUUGCACUACCUCAUCGCCAUAACAAGUCCAACAGGAGCGAAGCGUGAUCAGUACAGGAAUGGUUGUCAAGCGCCACAGCAGUUUUAUAAAUGUGAGAAAGAUGCAUUUGGUUUUAGGAUUAGAGGAAACUGUGCAUCCUUUCUAAAUUUUUGGGUUUAUUGUGCUCUCCCUUUGUCAAGUCUGCAGGUUUAUUCAUAAAUUGCAAGUUGGCAAUAUUUCUAGUGUGAGUUAAACCUUGAGAUCCCAAAAAUUUGGCAUAUUUUAACUUCAAAAUUAGUAUUUUAUGACAACAGUCUUGUCCAAUGUUCCUCCCUUAGCAUUUUCUCGACAGUUAUGUCAAUGAUAUGUUCUCACUUUGCACUUUGUGCUCCCUUCUUUAAUCGCUGCAGGUGGAGACAGAAUUAACUAUUUGGUUCCUCUGUGCCAGAGAAAGUAAUGCGUAAAAUGGGUGAAUCAAAUAUCAGGCUUUAUUUCCACCUGUUGUUUUUAUGUGUCCAGUAAACUAAGUGCUGAAAUAGCACCUUUCAGUUUCUUUGAUUGAAGCUCACGGUGGAUUUGCCCUUACCUGAAGGAAACCCUGGUCUCAUUUUUUCAACUUUUACUUUGGUUAAUCUUCCAUGAUCUCUGUUGGGGGGGAAGAAUAUCACAUUACCGGGAUUUGUGCAAUAUUUGAUCUUAACUGUCAUGUUGUUGACCAAACUGUAUAUUGUAUAAACAAGUGACAAGUUGUUUGAAAGCAACAAAAUCACCAAUGUCUUCCAUUAAGAUAUGUAUAGACUCAUGUGCAUUAGCUUAUUUAGCGGGACUGUGGUGCCAACAUUAUAGUAGCCAUGCAUGACCAGUAGUGAUGCUUGCUUCAUGGAGAAUAGUGAAAUCGAUUUUCUAGACUAAGCUGGAGCUCAAAACUCAACACAAAAAGGUGGUGGAUUGACGUACCGCACCUUUAAAAACACACCACAUUUAGAUACAGCUUUGCCCUAAAAACCUAAUGCAAGAUCUCGUUUUUGUUUCAUGUCUGGGAUGUAGGAUAAGUUGCAUGAUUAAAUGACACAAUCGGGGUAUGCAGUUGAUAAGUAUUUCAAGUUGUUUUAUGUAGGCGUGUAUGAUCAAUUUAAGUAAGUGCUUUCUAACAGAACUGCUGUAUGUUCUUAAGAUUGUUAUCUGGGUAAACAAAAUGCUUAAGAGACGUCCUAAUCUGCACUCUCAAGCGUCAAAAGAAUUUGUUGGCCAUUAUGCAACGGCCAAAAAAAGCUCCCCAAAAGCUCAGAUGUGACAAUGAUAGAAACCUUUAGAGAGGAAUGUUAUAUUAAGAGUCGUUCUUUAAUCUUGUGUUUUAGUCCUAGAAUUAAGAUCUUCACCAUGACAUCGUAUUGUACAUAAUAACUCAUAGUUUUUGGGAUUCAAAGCGAUAUAUUUUAAUCCAUAAAAUUGUAUUUGAUUAGAGUUUUAGAAGCAAUAACCUACAACGAUGCAUGAGUUUAGUGCCAGGGUAUACGUGUUAAAAGAAGUCUGUAAUGUCACGUGGAAAGGAUUUUCCCUCCCUUUCUGUUAUGCCUAUCUAUUAGUCACUUUCUUUGGAAGUCGUAUAAUUGACUUUAGAAUACAGUAUCACUUACAGAGGUUUUGGAUACUUCCUGCAGAACAAGGUAUACAUGAGGACAGCUGUAGCAUCAUUAUUUUCCCUGCCUUGUAUUCUUCGAAACACCAAAAUAACCUAAACCAAUCGGUACAUGAGAGAUGCUUUAAGAAUUUCAGUUGUUGUAGCAUUUUUACAUAAUAUAAACUUUCAGUAACUCUGUGGCUGCAAAGGACUUAUUGAACAGACUUGACACUUGUUUGAAAAGCACUUUCUCUCCAUGUACUGACUUGCACCGUCAUCACCAUCCUGUCUCGAAUACUGUGUUCUGAAAAACCCUGUGAUGCUCUUUGUUGGGAUUUAUAAUCACAAUUUAUAAGCAAGUAGGCGUCUAGCAACAUGAAUAUAUGGGUUUAAAAAAAAAUAUGCAUGACUUAGCAGAAUAAUGAAUGAUUUGUAUUGCAUGCAAUAAUCCAACUUUGUAAUGUGAAUGAGUGUAAUUAGGCUAAUGAAGAUGUUCAGAUCAGAUGUUCUGUGACACGGUGUCAACGUGGGGACGGUUGUUUUGACACAACAGCAAGCAUGUUGAAGUAGCUUCGAUCAUCAGCUGUGGUUUUAACCGACUGAAUUGCACCAAGAAAAAAGAAGUAUGUCGGAGAGUUUGAAGUGUUCCUGCUCUCCUGCUCUGUUGUGCCAAACAUAACCAGGGCAGUAAAGCCACAGUGCAGCUGAAAAACACCUUUCAACCUUUUGUUCCCAGAGAAAAAAAGCAACAAAAAAAAACCAACAAAAGCUUAGGGAAGAUGAUUAAUGACAUUACUUUGUUGAUCAACUUUUCCACUGAGGAGGUGGACUGUGUGGAAACUAUGCACUCCAGAGGGAGGAAAUGGGCAUGCUUAUUACGUGUGAGCCUCUUGUCUGGUUUUGUAUUAACUAAAAAAAAAAAAGAAAAGAUAUCUGUAUCAGAAAUUAAGCAAUAAAAUGCAGCAUGGUGCCAACUGGA